AAGCUCUAAAUUUGAAAUGGGAGAAAAAUAGAAUUAGAAGAAAAGACGGCUUGUAUUAGUGUCAGAACAUAAUAUUGGUUUUUACAAAAACUAAAAUAUAUUAAUAUAAAACUCAGCGUGGAGAUCAAUUGUCGCUGUAUAUAGUUCCGGAGAUAUAUAUUUUGGUUACUGGGUAAGUAAUUCUCGCAAUGUUGUGUUUUCGCUGCAAACCGGCUAAAUCCAAACUCGGUAAAGACUAAGUUAUUUAUUCUUUCCAGGCUUUAAUAGGUCGAGGCAAAUGUUGCUUUCCUUUGCCAUGUUACUGAGGAAAGAGGUGCGUGCCCUUGAGCGUGGCAAGCUGAUGUAAGAGACGGGUCUUCUCAAGAUCGGGACGUCUUCAUGGCCAUUGUCACGAGUUCCGACCCAAAUGCUAUUCUUGACCGCUGCAGACUUUUCUAUCGUCAGUCUCGUUUGUCUGGCGGAAUGCAGAGGAGUUAACUUGGAGGAAUUAACAUCGUCUGUGGCAGCAGGUAUGUGUUGGCCCUUAGGUAGCCCUUAGUAAGCUCAUAGUUACUUGAAGUUCAGGUUUUGUUAUUGUCAUAGAUCGGUAACCUUUUGCUUUUGUCACAUUUAUAAUGAAUAACUUUAAUAUCAUAACCAAGGUUUACUGUGAUCUAAUGGACAGUGUUACUUGCCAAAUUUAAUGCACAGGUGUAACUUUCCGUGUUAUAAUUACCAGAAUAAAAUUUAAUUA